CUACGGGCGGCUGCAGUAAGGAAUAUUGGUCAAUGGACGCAAGUCUGAACCAGCCAUGCCGCGUGGAGGAUGAAGGCCCUCUGGGUUGUAAACUUCUUUUAUUGGGGAAGAAACCGGUGUUUUCUAACGCCGUUGACGGUACCUGAUGAAUAAGCACCGGCUAACUCCGUGCCAGCAGCCGCGGUAAUACGGAGGGUGCAAGCGUUAUCCGGAUUCACUGGGUUUAAAGGGUGCGUAGGUGGGCAGGUAAGUCAGUGGUGAAAUCUCCGGGCUUAACCCGGAAACUGCCGUUGAUACUAUUUGUCUUGAAUAUAGUGGAGGUGAGCGGAAUAUGUCAUGUAGCGGUGAAAUGCUUAGAUAUGACAUAGAACAUCGAUUGCGAAGGCAGCUCGCUACACUAUUAUUGACACUGAGGCACGAAAGCGUGGGGAUCAAACAGGAUUAGAUACCCCGGUAGUC
rnacentral:rRNA from 1 species